AGGGAGAACUCAGUGCAAUGGUUUAAAGCAGGGGUUCUGGUUGCAAACUGUCUAGCUUGAACCCUUGCUUUGCCAUUUGCCAGUGUGCAGCCUUAGCAUGGCACAACUCAACAGCUCUUAACAUCUCUUCUGGGGGACAAGAUGUUGCCAUACUCCAUCUGACAAUAUGCCUGUCAUUUUCCUGCUGUUCUCAGAAGCACCACUGUGCUGCCUCCAGGGUAAGGGCCACCAUUUGGGUAAAAUGGGCUUGAUAAUCAAGGGCAUCUUGGGGUUCUUUGUAAGAUUUUACCAAGAAUUUGAAAGUAUGUUUUCUUUUAAAAAUGAAGGAAAGAGCCUUUUGGAAAUAAGUGCUUUUUGAAGAUGUUUACAUCAGUGGUGAACAGCGAGUAAGGAAUUGAAAUAAUGGCAGUCAGCAGACAGAAGUCAGCAGAAUCAAUUUCUUCUAUCCAUCAUCUUCUUCCUCUCCAGGAUCACUUUCCACCUGUGCACACCUGAUGCUGCAGACCUUUGGAGAAGCACUUAUGCUGGCCAUGAAAUCACAAGAAUACUAGUGUCCUUGUGGAGGGUGACAUCUCU
ensembl:lncRNA